rnacentral:rRNA from 1 species
UACGUAGGGUGCAAGCGUUAAUCGGAAUUACUGGGCGUAAAGCGUGCGCAGGCGGUUAUGUAAGACAGUUGUGAAAUCCCCGGGCUCAACCUGGGAACUGCAUCUGUGACUGCAUAGCUAGAGUCUCGGAGAGGAUCGUGGAAUUCUCGGUGUAGAGGUGAAAUUCGUAGAUAUCGAGAGGAACACCGGUGGCGAAGGCGGCGAUCUGGACGAUGACUGACGCUGGAGACGCGAAAGCGUGGGGAGCAAACAGG